AUUGAACGCUGGCGGCAGGCUUAACACAUGCAAGUCGAACGAGUGGCGGACGGGUGAGUAAUGCUUGGGAAUGUAGCUUAUGGCGGGGGAUAACUACGGGAAACUGUAGCUAAUACCGCGUACCAUAGGAUGAGCCCAAGUGGGAUUAGGUAGUUGGUGGGGUAAAGGCUCACCAAGCCGACGAUCCCUAGCUGGUUUGAGAGGAUGACCAGCCACACUGGGACUGAGACACGGCCCAGACUCCUACGGGAGGCAGCAGUGGGGAAUAUUGCGCAAUGGGGGCAACCUGACCCAGCCAUCCCGCGUGUAUGAUGAAGGCCUUCGGGUUGUAAAGUACUUUCGGUAGCGAAGCGGUAUCUACAGAAGAAGCACCGGCUAACUCCGUGCCAGCAGCCGCGGUAAUUC
rnacentral:rRNA from 1 species